rnacentral:rRNA from 1 species
CUCGUAGGCGGUUUGUCGCGUCUGCCGUGAAAGUCCGGGGCUCAACUCCGGAUCUGCGGUGGGUACGGGCAGACUAGAGUGAUGCAGGGGGAGACUGGAAUUCCUGGUGUAGCGGUGAAAUGCGCAGAUAUCAGGAGGAACACCGAUGGCGAAGGCAGGUCUCUGGGCAUUAACUGACGCUGAGGAGCGAAAGCAUGGGGAGCGAACA